GAUGAACCCUGGCGGCGUGCCUAAUACGUGCAAGUCGAGCGAACGGACGAGAAGCUUGCUUCUCUGAUGUUAGCGGCGGAAGGGUGAGUAAAACGUGGAUAACCUACCUAUAAGACUGGGAUAACUUCGGGAAACCGGAGCUAAUACCGGAUGAUAUUUUGAACCGCAUGGUUCAAAAGUGAAAGACGGUCUUGCUGUCACUUAUAGAUGGAUCCGCGCUGCAUUGGCUAGUUGGUAAGGUAACGGAUUACCAAGGCAACGAGGCAUAGCCGACCUGAGAGGGGGAACGGCCACACUGGAACUGCGACACGGUCCAGACUCCUACGGGGGGCAGCAGUAGGGAAUCUUCCGCAAUGGGCGAAAGCCUGACGGAGCAACGCCGCGUGAGUGAUGAAGGUCUUCGGAUCGUAAAACUCUGUUAUUAGGGAAGAACAUAUGUGUAAGUAACUGUGCACAUCUUGACGGUACCUAAUCAGAAAGCCACGGCUAACUACGUG
rnacentral:rRNA from 1 species